UUCAACUUUACAACGAAGGAUAGGAAUGAUGAAACCAAGUUUUCGGAAACUAUCCCAUUGAUACUCCUGCGUGCUUUAUGCAUGACAGUGCAUAUGGUUCGAAGCACAGGUGAAGUCGGCAGAAAAAAGGCUAUAGCCACUCUUUUUAUUUAGAGAAGGUACGCUAAUUGAUAUGCCGGAUGGCUGAAAA
rfam:Bacillus galactosidilyticus strain PL133 scaffold000077, whole genome shotgun sequence.